CCUACGGGACGCACCAGUGGGGAAUAUUGGACAAUGGGGGCAACCCUGAUCCAGCAAUGCCGCGUGUAUGAAGAAGGUCUUCGGAUUGCAAAGUACUUUCGACAGGGACGAUGAUGACGGUACCUGUAGAAGAAGCCCCGGCUAACUUCGUGCCAGCAGCCGCGGUAAUACGAAGGGGGGCUAGCGUUACUCGGAAUGACUGGGCGUAAAGGGCGCGUAGGCGGCUUAUACAGUCAGAUGUGAAAUUCCUGGGCUUAACCUGGGACCUGCAUUUGAUACGUAUAGGCUAGAGUGUGAAAGAGGAUUGUGGAAUUCCAAGUGUAGAGGUGAAAUUCGUAGAUAUUUGGAGGAACACCGGCGGCGAAGGCGGCAAUCUGGUUCACAACUGACGCUGAGGCGCGAAAGCGUGGGGAGCAAACAGGAUUAGAUACCCGGGUAGUC
rnacentral:rRNA from 1 species